GCGUGAGAAUCUAGCUUCAGGUCGGGGACAACAGUUGGAAACGACUGCUAAUACCGGAUGUGCCGAGAGGUGAAAGGUUAACUGCCUGAAGAUGAGCUCGCGUCUGAUUAGCUAGUUGGUGUGGUAAGAGCGCACCAAGGCGACGAUCAGUAGCUGGUCUGAGAGGAUGAUCAGCCACACUGGGACUGAGACACGGCCCAGACUCCUACGGGAGGCAGCAGUGGGGAAUUUUCCGCAAUGGGCGAAAGCCUGACGGAGCAAUACCGCGUGAGGGAGGAAGGCUCUUGGGUUGUAAACCUCUUUUCUCAGGGAAGAAAAAAAUGACGGUACCUGAGGAAUAAGCAUCGGCUAACUCCGUGCCAGCAGCCGCGGUAAUACGGAGGAUGCAAGCGUUAUCCGGAAUGAUUGGGCGUAAAGGGUCCGCAGGUGGCACUGUAAGUCUGCUGUCAAAGAGCAAGGCUCAACCUUGUAAAGGCAGUGGAAACUACAGAGCUAGAGUACGUUCGGGGCAGAGGGAAUUCCUGGUGUAGCGGUGAAAUGCGUAGAGAUCAGGAAGAACACCGGUGGCGAAAGCGCUCUGCUAGGCCUGUACUGACACUGAGGGACGAAAGCUAGGGGAGCGAAUGGGAUU
rnacentral:rRNA from 1 species